rnacentral:misc_RNA from 1 species
UUCAAAAUCGUCUGCGAGGCUGGGUCUUUGUUUACAUUAUGUGAAAUGUCAUAGGUGUAAGAAUUAAUAGCUCCAGGCCACUGCAAUAGUAGAAAAUAUGUGAAAACGAACGGAUUGUUUGACAGUUUAUUUCUCAGAAGUAAAACUGCUCCAUCAUAACAAAUAAAUUUGUUGCUGUAUUGCCAAGAUGUUGGAGUUCCUUUGUUCUUGGCCUGUGACAUUUCGUGGAGCAUUGGUGCUUUUGUUAACAUGGAGUGGAAUCUUACAUGUUGUAACAAACAUCCAACUGGUAAAGUUCACGGCUUGACCAGAUGUCCAUCUCAGGUGAAUGUCAAUCAUUUGAAAUCCUUGUCACACACAAUGCAGACUCAGGACAGUGAAAAACUGGUAGCUAUCAGCCCAAAUGUGUCUGUGUGCAAAGAGGUGUCAGAGUGCCUCAGCAGCUGGUUUAACUACUUACAGAUGCUAAAUGGCCUCUGUAGUGCUGGUUCAAGACUAUCAGAGGCUCUUGGGGGCAUGGUACGAGACACAAAUUCUCCAUCAUAUGCCAUUGCAGUCCAGUGUCACUCUGCAUGGGAAGAAUUAGUGAAGGCAACUGCAGCUGCCACUUCAGCAGUAAAAAGUCAGGUUACUACGACUUUGCAGGACGUCAAUAAUCAAGAUAGCACUGAAAGUAGUCAGGUGGUUUGUGGCAGCCUCAUGACAUUUGUGAAGCUGCAGCAGCAGUUCUGUGCUUCGUGUAGCGAAUUCUUGAGCUCUGUGCCAACGUGCAGCUGUAGCUCCUCCCAUGACCCUGACUGUGGCAUCGGUGUACUACAGCAGAGUCUGGCACGUAUGUAUGCCCCAGUGCCACCGUGGCCACAACGCAGAUGGUCAGAGGCUGCAGCUACCGACCUUGGGGGAGAGGGGGAUGCAACUGCUCCUCGCCGCUGGUCUGUCCCAUGCCCACCCCAGCGGGGAGCUGCCAAACUUGGAGUUCCUUCACAGGACCGAAGCCGAUCUGCUACUCCAGAUUCAGUGUGGCGGAGCUCAUUGGCAAGCCAAGAUGAGCUUCAGGAGGUCAUACAGUUGUUGUCUGUGCAACCUCAACAGGCAACACAACUGCAUCAUCCAAGUAUGCACAUGCCAGGAGUCACCUUAACAAACUGCUCUGGAGAUGGAAACUUGCCUGAAUCUGGUACUGGCUGGGGUGAAGGACACUCAGAAGAGCGGCGGGCAAGUGCACCAUUGAGAAACAAUAGUGGCUCUCCACAACCUUCACAAAGCACUCAUCGAGCUAGUUGGCAUGCUCCAGAUCCUCAUUCUUGCACGUGGGGAGAGCAUGAGCUGUUUCCUCCAGCACUAGACCCAGCAAAUUUUGCAUCCCGUAAAAGCAGCUCUUCUACAGAUUCAUCUUCCAGUCAUUCAUUGCACAGUCGUUCAACAACAGGGUCCGAGGGUGGUGCAUUGUGACCUCAGUACCUCUCAGUGGCCAACUUAUAAACGAGAAAUUGGACAACAUUUUGCAACUUCACAUACUGAGAUACUUGAUCAGUCAUGAAAAAUUCAUCAUAAAACCAUUGUACUACCUUUCAUUGCCAAUAUUGGUGGAAAAAUAAGGAAGUUCGUGCACAUUUAUACUCAAUGUGGAGUGGUGGUGAUAUGGCUUUCAUGAGGGUGCCAGAAUCAGCUGAGUUACCAGAUGGUCCAAGUCAUACUGAUAAUUGAACUUAAAAAAACUUUUAACUAUAAAUGUUGUGUGCAUGUGAUUUUAAAGGUACAAAUUAUGAGAUUGUUUAAUAUAGUUUAUGAAUGUUCAUAUUUCUUCUUUAUAAACUGUGGUGCUAUACCAUUGCAGAUGUCACCCAUAAUAAAAGAGAUCUUCCUUAUUGCUA